rnacentral:rRNA from 1 species
CACGUAGGCGGAUAUUUAAGUCAGGGGUGAAAUCCCAGAGCUCAACUCUGGAACUGCCUUUGAUACUGGGUAUCUUGAGUAUGGAAGAGGUAAGUGGAAUUCCGAGUGUAGAGGUGAAAUUCGUAGAUAUUCGGAAGAACACCAGUGGCGAAGGCGACACACUGGCUCAUUACUGACGCUGAGGCUCGAAAGCGCGGGGAGCAAACA